rfam:Brachypodium distachyon strain Bd21 chromosome 4, whole genome shotgun sequence.
CAUGUACUCUCUCUAUCCAGCAAAGGAUGUCUUAACUUUGUCCAAAUUUGAAUGCAUCUAUAUAUUAAAUUAUGUGUAGAUAUAUCCAAAUUUUGACAAGCUUGAGACAUUUUUUUGUUGGACGGAGAGAGUAAUUC